rnacentral:lncRNA from 1 species
UUAUGGCACCCUCAACGGAGUUGGGGUGACAUAUUGUUAUUGUUCGUUUCUUUUUGUCUUAUUAUGGCACCCUCAACGGAGUUGGGGUGACAUAUUGUUAUUGUUCGUUUCUUUUUGUCUUAUUAUUAUUAUAUUUAUUCUUCCACACUUUUUUGUCCAUACUAUUUCUCAGAAUUGGCUUAAACAAUAUUGAUGGAACUAUACCAUAAUGUUGACCACCACAUUACAUCAAUGUUAAAUUUAUUCUAGAGACAUUAAAUGGUAUAUAUGAUUAUGGAGGGAAAAAAUUGCAGCGGGGGUUUGACUUUGGAAUAUUCAAAAUGGCCGCCGUUACCAUGGGAACAGCAAAAUUAUGAAAAACUUCAAAAUGCUUUAAAUUUAAUGAAACUUAUAACAAAUUUUGCCUUGCUUAUGUAGACUUAACUUUUGAGUUUCGAAUUUUCAAAAUGGCCGUCGUUGCCAUGGAAAUAGCAAAAAUUUU